rfam:Fukomys damarensis contig101058, whole genome shotgun sequence.
GUCCUUUUGUGGUUCAUAAGCAGGCUGGUUGAGUUUCCCUGCUAUCGUGAGAGAGGUAUCUCCUUCAAAGCUUCCAUGUCAGCGUAUUACCUGUCUGGCG